UACGUAGGUGGCAAGCGUUGUCCGGAUUUACUGGGCGUAAAGCGCGCGCAGGCGGCCUCGCGCGCCCGACGUGAAAGCCCCCGGCUUAACCGGGGAGAGUCGUUGGGGACGGCGGGGCUUGAGGGCGGGAGAGGGUGGUGGAAUUCCCGGUGUAGUGGUGAAAUGCGUAGAGAUCGGGAGGAACACCCGUGGCGAAGGCGGCCACCUGGGCCGACCCUGACGCUGAGGCGCGAAGGCGUGGGGAGCGAACGGG
rnacentral:rRNA from 1 species